rnacentral:rRNA from 1 species
AUACGGAGGGUGCAAGCGUUAAUCGGAAUUACUGGGCGUAAAGCGUGCGUAGGCGGUUUAUUAAGUCAGAUGUGAAAGCCCCGGGCUUAACCUGGGAACUGCAUUUGAUACUGGUAGACUAGAGUAUGAUAGAGGGGGGUAGAAUUCCUAGUGUAGCGGUGAAAUGCGUAGAUAUUAGGAGGAAUACCAGUGGCGAAGGCGGCCCCCUGGACCAAUACUGACGCUGAGGUACGAAAGCGUGGGGAGCGAACAGAAUUAGAAACCCGAGUAGUCC